UACGGGGGGGGCAAGCGUUGUUCGGAAUUACUGGGCGUAAAGGGCUCGUAGGUGGCCAACUAAGUCGGACGUGAAAUCCCUCAGCUUAACUGGGGAACUGCGUCCGAUACUGGAUGGCUUGAGUUUGGGAGAGGGAUGCGGAAUUCCAGGUGUAGCGGUGAAAUGCGUAGAUAUCAGGAAGAACACCGAUGGCGAAAGCAGCUCUCUGGGACGGUACUGACGCUGAGGCGCGAAAGCGUGGGGAGCGAACAGG
rnacentral:rRNA from 1 species